rnacentral:rRNA from 1 species
GAUGAACGCUGGCGGCGUGCCUAAUACAUGCAAGUCGAGCGAACCACUUCGGUGGUGAGCCGCGAACGGGUGAGUAACACGUAGGUGAUCUGCCCAUCAGACGGGGACAACGAUUGGAAACGAUCGCUAAUACCGGCUCGGACGAAAGUUUAAAGGUGCUUCUGGCACCGCUGAUGGAUGAGCCUGCGGCGCAUUAGCUAGUUGGUAGGGUAAAGGCCUACCAAGGCGACGAUGCGUAGCCGACCUGAGAAGGUGAACGGCCACACUGGGACUGAGACACGGCCCAGACUCCUACGGGAGGCAGCAGUAGGGAAUCUUCGGCAAUGGGCGAAAGCCUGACCGAGCAACGCCGCGUGAAUGAUGAAGGCCUUCGGGUUGUAAAAUUCUGUUAUAAGGGAAGAACGACUUUAGUAGGAAAUGGCUAGAGUGUGACGGUACCUUAUGAGAAAGCCACGGCUAACUACGUGCCAGCAGCCGCGGUAA